rnacentral:lncRNA from 1 species
UAUAAGAAAAUAUCUUUGGUCAAGCGUAGGAACGCAAAGUGAAGGAAGAAUAUUAUUGGGUGAGAAGAGAAGACGUGAAGUGAAGCGAAAGGGUUUAGACUUUUCCGAGUUCUUCAGUUAAUAAACACUUAGAAGAGUCAAGGAAACAGAUGGAAGGUCUCAUUGUGUGAAAGAAGUUGAGAAUUUGGCUCUUCUAGAGUAUUCGGAGGGGGAGUAUUCUCUCGGAGUCCAUCCGUUCAUGUUGACUGAGGGAGGAGACCGGAGGAAAUCAUAUCUAAUUAUGAAUACUUUACACGGGAGUCGAAGUGUGAAAAUUCCUACCGGCGUUUUUCUUCUUGGACAUCGACGAACUCGGAUAAGAGUGAAUUCAAAACCUAAUUGAAGUAUUUUUAUCCUUAGUUUACGGUCUAUAAUCAUGGUUCUUAUUCAAACUAAAUUAGUUGUAAUCUAAUAAUAAGUCUUAAUAUUAUAUUACAUUAAUUAUCAUUUGAUUUUGUGAUGAUUUUAUCGAUCGUUAUUGUUGGAAUAAGUUUACAGGUAGGAUUAUACGAUCAUAGGAGCUUGUACUGUAUAUUUAUAUACCUAAAAACUGUACAAUAAUAGUAAAUAAACAAUAAU